AAAUAAGCAAAACUUAGGAGAAAUUUUGUGACACAGGUUGAGCUAUGUCGUGUUCCAAUGAGAUUCUUUAAGCCAGGUGAAAAGCUGUGUUAUGCGUUCUACAAGUAUGGGACGAAAGUGCUAGGUGGGAUAGUGCAUGCUAUGCUGCAUGAGUAUGUCUAAUCCAUGAUUUUGUCUCUGGAACGAAAGAGUGGACCUGACUGUAUGGGCGGCUGUAGGAAGCGUAUGAUGAACAUGCCUGGAAUAUAAAUGAGACAGUUGUCGGCAGGGAUGUAUACCCCCGUCUGGUACAUGAAAGUGAAAUGUGAUAAGUGGCCAACCAAGUGAGUUCCCCAGAAACAUCAUGAACUUAUGGAUGAGUAGUGGCGUUUGUUGAUGAUAUGAUAUGUGCUUAGUUGUCUGAGUAACAACGGAUUGAUGACCCUGACCAUGAUUUACCCCAU